rnacentral:rRNA from 1 species
UACGUAGGGUGCGAGCGUUAAUCGGAAUUACUGGGCGUAAAGCGUGCGCAGGCGGUUUUGUAAGCCAGAUGUGAAAUCCCCGGGCUCAACCUGGGAAUGGCAUUUGGGACUGCAAGGCUGGAGUACGGCAGAGGAGACUGGAAUUCCUGGUGUAGCAGUGAAAUGCGUAGAUAUCAGGAGGAAUACCGAUGGUGAAGGCAGGUCUCUGGGCUGAUACUGACGCUCAUGCACGAAAGCGUGGGGAGCAAACAGG